ACGUGACUUUCCCCACAUGACGUAUUUCCGGCCUGUCCGUGGUCAGUUGAAGGAAGAUGGCGGCUGUAGGACGCUUGACUCAGUCUCUACUGAGAGCUUCUCUCUCACACACACGCCGUCAGAUGUCUGCUGUUGCUGCUGGCGAGGGCGAGCACACAACUAGGACAUGGAAGAUCCUUACCUUUGUGGUUGCCCUGCCUGGUGUGGCGGUGUGCAUGCUGAACAUGUACCUGAAAGAACAACAACACAGCCAUGAACAACCCGAGUUCGUCCCUUACUCGCACCUCCGCAUCCGCACCAAGCGGUUCCCCUGGGGUGAUGGCAACAAAUCCCUCUUCCACAAUCCACAUUUGAACGCUCUUCCUGAUGGCUAUGAGGGCCAUGAUGAGUAAACCCUCCUUCCAAACCUAACUGGGGCAGGGACCACUUUCCUUUUUCUUUGUUUCCAGGACCACACUCACUUGCAGUUUACUCUUGUAUUCACCCUUAAACACGGGGCACCAACUUGACCAUUAGGGUUCGUACGGGCGCUUAAAAGCCUUGAAAAUGCUUGGAUUAUAAGGUUUGAAAAAUGCUUACAUUUUGGGUGAAGUGCUUGGAAAUGUUCAUCGUGUUUCUCGGCAGUCUGACUCAUUAGGCUACUUAUAAAAUGGAAAAAAAUAAACUAAGU